rnacentral:rRNA from 1 species
UACGUAGGUGACAAGCGUUAUCCGGAUUUAUUGGGCGUAAAGCGCACGCAGGCGGCUGCUUAAGUCUGACGUGAAAUCUCUCGGCUUAACCGGGAGCGGUCGUUGGAAACUAAGUGGCUUGAGGCGAUGAGAGGGGUGUGGAAUUCCCGGUGUAGUGGUGGAAUUCGUAGAUAUCGGGAGGAACACCAGUGGCGAAGGCGGCGAUCUGGGUUGAUACUGACGCUGAGGUGCGAAAGCGUGGGGAGCAAACAGG